rnacentral:rRNA from 1 species
UUCCGGUUGAUCCUGUUGGACCUGACUGCUAUCGGAUUGAUACUAAGCCAUGCGAGUCAUUGUAGCAAUACAAGGCAUACGGCUCAGUAACGCGUAGUCAACCUAACCUAUGGACGGAAAUAACCUCGGGAAACUGAGAAUAAUGUCCGAUAGAACACUAUACCUGGAAUGGUUUGUGUUCCAAAUGAUUUAUCGCCGUAGGAUGGGACUGCGGCCUAUCAGUUUGUUGGUGAGGUAAUGGCCCACCAAGACUAUUACAGGUACGGGCUCUGAGAGGAGUAGCCCGGAGAUGGGUACUGAGACACGGACCCAGGCCCUAUGGGGCGCAGCAGGCGAGAAAACUUUGCAAUGUGCGAAAGCACGACAAGGUUAAUCCGAGUGAUUUGUGCUAAACGAAUCUUUUGUUAGUCAUAGAACCACUAACGAAUAAGGGGUGGGCAAGUUCUGGUGUCAGCCGCCGCGGUAAAACCAGCACCUCAAGUGGUCAGGAUGAUUAUUGGGCCUAAAGCAUCCGUAGCCGGCUCUGUAAGUUUUCGGUUAAAUCUGUACGCUCAACGUACAGGCUGCCGGGAAUACUGCAGAGCUAGGGAGUGGGAGAGGUAGACGGUACUCGGAAGGAAGGGGUAAAAUCCUUUGAUCUUUUGAUGACCACCUG